UCUCGGGGUUAUUGGGCGUAAAGCGCGCGCAGGCGGUUCUUUAAGUCUGAUGUGAAAGCCCCCGGCUCAACCGGGGAGGGUCAUUGGAAACUGGGGAACUUGAGUGCAGAAGAGGAGAGUGGAAUUCCACGUGUAGCGGUGAAAUGCGUAGAGAUGUGGAGGAACACCAGUGGCGAAGGCGACUCUCUGGUCUGUAACUGACGCUGAGGCGCGAAAGCGUGGGGAGCGAACAGGAUUAGAUACCCUGGUAGUCCACGCCGUAAACGAUGAGUGCUAAGUGUUAGAGGGUUUCCGCCCUUUAGUGCUGCAGCAAACGCAUUAAGCACUCCGCCUGGGGAGUACGGUCGCAAGACUGAAACUCAAAGGAAAUGACGGA
rnacentral:rRNA from 1 species